GAAAAUACCCCAAAUUCAAGUUUUUUUGUGCUAUUACCCGGUCACUACCAAAUUACAAAUCUCCAACUUCCCUCUCCCCCAAAAUUUCCCUCCUAUACCCUAAAUCAAUUUCCCUCUCUAGAAUUGCUAAUCCAUUUUCCCUCUAUGCAGAUCUCCACCAAGGUUAAUGGAGCACAUAACUAUCGCACCAAUGGGAGCCACCACCACCGGCGUUCUCUCUCUAUCUCCCUUUGUCGACUUCACCACCAUCGCUGACUGUUGACCACCGUAUGCUGCUGCAAUCCGACGUCCCAGUGCCCUUGCCCCUUUACGAUUUGCCAGCCUGGUCCAAAUUUUGAGCUUGUGGAGAAAGCACGAUCUCAGCAGCUACAGCCCCAUGUAUACAACUCAGGGACUUUCACUCUCUCCAACUUAGGAAUGUUUGGAGUGGAUCGCUUUGAUGCUAUUCUACCACCUGGGCAGG